rnacentral:tRNA from 1 species
GCCGUGGCUCAGUGGUAGAGCAUCUGCUUUGCACGUAAAAGGUCCCAGGUUCAAUCCCCGGCAUCUCCA